rnacentral:rRNA from 1 species
GAUGAACGCUGGCGGCGUGCCUAAUACAUGCAAGUCGAACGCUGGAAAUCUAGCUUGCUAGAUUGAAGGAGUGGCGAACGGGUGAGUAAUACAUAAGCAACCUACCCACGAAGACUGGGAUAAUCUCUGGAAACGGGGACUAAUACCGGAUAGGUAAUCGGAAGGCAUCUUCUGAUUAUUAAAGGUUAAAAACACUGGUGGAUGGGCUUAUGGCGCAUUAGUUAGUUGGUGAGGUAACGGCCCACCAAGACGAUGAUGCGUAGCCGGCCUGAGAGGGUGAACGGCCACAUUGGGACUGAGACACGGCCCAGACUCCUACGGGAGGCAGCAGUAGGGAAGUUUCGGCAAUGGGGGAAACCCUGACCGAGCAACGCCGCGUGAGUGAGGACGGCCUUCGGGUUGUAAAGCUCUGUUGUAAGGGAAGAACGGUAGAUAGAGAAUAUCUAAAUGACGGUACCUUACCAGAAAGCCACGGCUAACUACGUG